rnacentral:rRNA from 1 species
UGGGGAAUCUUCCGCAAUGGACGAGAGUCUGACGGAGCAACGCCGCGUGAGUGAAGACGGCCUUCGGAUCGUAAAGCUCUGUUGUUAGAGAAGAAUGAGUGUGAGAGGAGUAAUUUGACGAUUUGACGGUACCGGAAUAGAAAGGCACGGCUAACUACGUGCCAGCAGCCGCGGUAAUACGUAGGUCCCGAGCGUUGUCCGGAAUUAUUGGGCGUAAAGCGAGCGCAGGCGGUUAGAUAAGUCUGAAGUUAAAGGCUGUGGCUUAACCAUAGUACGCUUUGGAAACUGUUUAACUUGAGUGCAAGAGGGGAGAGUGGAAUUCCAUGUGUAGCGGUGAAAUGCGUAGAUAUAUGGAGGAACACCGGUGGCGAAAGCGGCUCUCUGGUCUGUAACUGACGCUGAGGCUCGAAAGCGUGGGGAGCAAACAGGAUUAGAUACCCUGGUAGUCCACGCCGUAAACGAUGAGUGCUAGGUGUUAGACCCUUUCCGGGGUUUAGUGCCGCAGCUAACGCAUUAAGCACUCCGCCUGGGGAGUACGACCGCAAGGUUG